rnacentral:rRNA from 1 species
GAUGAACGCUGGCGGCGUGCCUAAUACAUGCGAGUCGAGCGAACAGACGAGGAGCUUGCUCCUCUGACGUUAGCGGCGGACGGGUGAGUAACACGUGGAUAACCUACCUAUAAGACUGGGAUAACUUCGGGAAACCGGAGCUAAUACCGGAUAAUAUAUUGAACCGCAUGGUUCAAUAGUGAAAGACGGUUUUGCUGUCACUUAUAGAUGGAUCCGCGCCGCAUUAGCUAGUUGGUAAGGUAACGGCUUACCAAGGCGACGAUGCGUAGCCGACCUGAGAGGGUGAUCGGCCACACUGGAACUGAGACACGGUCCAGACUCCUACGGGAGGCAGCAGUAGGGAAUCUUCCGCAAUGGGCGAAAGCUUGACGGAGCAACGCCGCGUGAGUGAUGAAGGUCUUCGGAUCGUAAAACUCUGUUAUUAGGGAAGAACAAAUGUGUAAGUAACUAUGCACGUCUUGACGGUACCUAAGCAGAAAGCCACGGCUAACUACGU